rnacentral:rRNA from 1 species
UAAGGAAUAUUGGUCAAUGGACGCAAGUCUGAACCAGCCAUGCCGCGUGGAGGAUGAAGGCCCUCUGGGUUGUAAACUUCUUUUAUCUGGGACGAAACCUCUUUUUCUUGAGAGACUGACGGUACCAGAGGAAUAAGCACCGGCUAACUCCGUGCCAGCAGCCGCGGUAAUACGGAGGGUGCAAGCGUUAGCCGGAUUCACUGGGUUUAAAGGGUGCGUAGGCGGGCAGGUAAGUCAGUGGUGAAAUCUUCGAGCUUAACUCGGAAACUGCCGUUGAUACUAUCUGUCUUGAAUACUCGGGAGGUGAGCGGAAUAUGUCAUGUAGCGGUGAAAUGCUUAGAUAUGACAUAGAACACCAAUUGCGAAGGCAGCUCACUACAGAGUCAUUGACGCUGAGGCACGAAAGCGUGGGGAUCAAAC